AACGAACGCUGGCGGCAUGCCUAACACAUGCAAGUCGAACGAGACCUUCGGGUCUAGUGGCGCCCGGGUGCGUAACGCGUGGGAACCUGCCCUUAGGUUCGGCAUAACUCCCCGAAAGGGGUGCUAAUACCGGAUAAUGUCUUCGGACCAAAGAUUUAUCGCCUUUGGAUGGGCCCGCGUUGGAUUAGCUAGUUGGUAGGGUAAAAGCCUACCAAGGCGACGAUCCAUAGCUGGUCUGAGAGGAUGAUCAGCCACACUGGGAGUGAGACACGGCCCAGACUCCUACGGGAGGCAGCAGUGGGGAAUAUUGGAAAAUGGGCGAAAGCCUGAUCCAGCAAUGCCGGGUGAGUGAUGAAGGCCUGAGAGUUGUAAAGCUCUUUUACCCGGGAUGAUAAUGACAGUACCGGGAGAAUAAGCUCCGGCUAACUCCGUG
rnacentral:rRNA from 1 species